rnacentral:lncRNA from 1 species
CUGAAACUGAAAAAAUAAAUCUCCAUUAUGGUGACUUAUGAAAGUUACAGUCUAUUCUUAAAGAUAUUCUGGCCACGAACUGGACUAGUAAUGGGUAGCUGGCUGUCAUAUGAGGCAGGAUAACUUCUAGGUAGUUCUGGCUGGUAUUUGUGAUCAGCCAGUGUCCGUGAUUAUUUGAUGGUCUAAUGACCUCUCCUAACCAGGCUUGGGGGUUCUGGUUGACAUUGUUAGGUCUUGUGUUCUCCCAACUGACUUAAUAAAUUGAUUCCUUGUGAAUGUUGAUGCUCAGAUGUGUUUUUGAAAGGGGUUCCCAUGCUGUGAUUAUGUGUUAAAAAGUGAUAAACGUGAAAAUACAACAUGAAAAGACCAUCCUAAGUCAACAGAUGUGUUUUUCAAAAAGACAGAUUUGUUUGUGAGCAGCCAAUAGCAACCUUGCCAACUAUAUUAUUAAAGAGCCAAACGACUGAGUGACUAAACCCUGUUUAUAGACUACGGAUGCCAUAGAGACUGGAGAUGUUGGAAAAGCCUCAGUCGUGGUUCCUAGGGCGUGGUGCUAAGAAACUCUUGGCCAUGGUGCUCUGACAUUGCUGAAAGGCGAAACAGAAUGGGGAGUUGCCCCUCCCCAAUAAUCAACAGC